rnacentral:rRNA from 1 species
AGUGAACGCUGGCGGUAGGCCUAACACAUGCAAGUCGAACGGCAGCACAGUAAGAGCUUGCUCUUACGGGUGGCGAGUGGCGGACGGGUGAGGAAUACAUCGGAAUCUACUUUUUCGUGGGGGAUAACGUAGGGAAACUUACGCUAAUACCGCAUACGACCUACGGGUGAAAGCAGGGGAUCUUCGGACCUUGCGCGAUCGAAUGAGCCGAUGUCGGAUUAGCUAGUUGGCGGGGUAAAGGCCCACCAAGGCGACGAUCCGUAGCUGGUCUGAGAGGAUGAUCAGCCACACUGGAACUGAGACACGGUCUAGACUCCUACGGGAGGCAGCAGUGGGGAAUAUUGGACAAUGGGCGCAAGCCUGAUCCAGCCAUACCGCGUGGGUGAAGAAGGCCUUCGGGUUGUAAAGCCCUUUUGUUGGGAAAGAAAAGCAGCAGGUUAAUACCCCGCUGUUCUGACGGUACCCAAAGAAUAAGCACCGGCUAACUUCGUG